GCUUGCUUUGCUGUUUUUAAAUGAACUAUUAGAAAAUGUGUGUGCUGUAAGAUGCAUAAAGCAUCAGCCAGAGCUGUCCAGGCAUUGAUUAAUGUAUCUGUUCCUACUUUGACAAUACUUGAGGUGCAACAUAUUUAAACAACCUGAUAAAUGGAAACAUUAGUCAAAUUUUAAAAUGAAUCCAGUCCUGCUCAUGUUUAUCCGUACUGUAAAUAUAAAACUUAUAGUUACUUAUAGUUAUAGUUUACUUAUAUAAACUAAAUAUAAACUUCACCCCUUUGGCUGCUCCUCUAGUCACAGCUAUUGAUGCAAAUCAACAGAAAAAAGUCAUGUAAAAUAGAAGGUAAAGAUUGCAGAUCAUUGUAAAUGCGAAACAGGAUUGAGCAACUACUUUGAAGCAUGGUACGAGAUUUCUCCAAUGAUAAUUUGCUCAGUUUGACUUUCUGUUAUUAUCUGCUGUGCUGUAUAUUUCUCCAAUUUUCAGGCUAAAGGUGAAGACGGAUACAGGGACUGUAAAGUCUGACCAGACGUGGCUGCCCCGAAAGACUCAGGAAGAUCGGAUUCCUUGCAGUUUCUCUGUGCAGUGAACGAUGUGAAAAAAAUAUCAGAUGUGAGCAACACACAAGAGUUAGGUUAUAGAGUAAAUAAGCCAACAACAUAAGUACUUCAUAUGGACAGGACAGCACAUGUAAGAGGCAAACCUAGCAAACCAAAUCCAGCAUCCAGGGCGACACAGCCACAUAAUUUGUGCCAAUUUAUUCACUUGUCAAAUCUGUGAGAUCCGUCAGAAGCAGCCAACCAGGUUUAUCAAAGGAAAACGGAGCAGUCUGACACUGUAUCAGAGGCUUCGUUGUCUUUGUUUGUGCUCCACACUCUACCUGUCUGUGAGGUUUUCACAUGCAACUGCUUGCACAGCGGUGAGCGGCGCAAAUUCCUUUCCAGCCCUCAGCCUGCCAGACCCUUUCUACCUGCCUAGCACAGAGCACCCGCACACCCAGUCCAAUCACAGCCGAACACACUUCCCCAAGCCAUCAGUAUGACUAUACACGUCCAUACCUCCAUUGGUGCAGCCCAGGAAAUCCCAGAACUGCAUGCUGGCAGUCGGCAGACAGAGGACUGAACCUCUGCUAAAUCACAUACGCCUGUGUGUGCUCCUGCUCUGUCUCUCCACUUCCUUGUUGCACUGUAUGCUGUCACUUAUAGGAGAGGGAGAACACCCGCCCACUGAUUGUUUCGGACUGACACACCUGGGGGCUGAGUUUCAUUUCUAAACAGCUGUCUCCUUCCCUCAUUUCUACUCGCCUUGCCACUACUUCUCUUUCUCCCUAGCCUUUAUCUUUUUCCUGGCUGAAAACAGACAGGUGUAAAGAUCGAUCCAACAUCAUCAAUGCUGCUUUUCUCCAUCCCUGCCUUGUCAGAUUAGUGGAGGUAAUGGGGAGAGGAGGCAAAGAGAGCAGACAGGCAGAAGAGAAACAAAGCCGCA